AGCAUUUGAUGAAGACCUAUUGAAGACGUGUGCCUAACUAGCAAAUGUAAUAGGUCCUUUAGCUUGAUUGCUUUGCUUUUGUUGUUAUAUGUUACUUGCUUUAUUAGAUUCUUGCAUCUAGUCGGGCAUGCUAAAAUGUUAUGUGCUAUGUGUUUAUGAGUGUUUGGCAUGCCUACUUGCUUUCUAUAGUCAUAGAUGGAUGUGAUGGAUGAAUGUACGUCACCACACUAGUCCAAUGCUAGUUGUGGCUAAUUAUCCCGUUAGGAAUUCAUAGAAAGGGCUAGUCCAACGCUAGACCCUUAGGGAUUUCCUUUUUCGUUAAUGCAUAUUUGCAUGUUCACUACAUGUCAUGCAUUUUUCUUAGUUUUAUCAUUUGGCAUGCUCCUCGAACCCCUUUUCCCCUCAUUUUAGGAUUUUU
rnacentral:lncRNA from 1 species